GACGAACGCUGGCGGCGUGCUUAACACAUGCAAGUCGAACGGAAAGGCCCUGCUUUUGUGGGGUGCUCGAGUGGCGAACGGGUGAGUAACACGUGAGUAACCUGCCCUUGACUUUGGGAUAACUUCAGGAAACUGGGGCUAAUACCGGAUAGGAGCUCCUGCUGCAUGGUGGGGGUUGGAAAGUUUCGGCGGUUGGGGAUGGACUCGCGGCUUAUCAGCUUGUUGGUGGGGUAGUGGCUUACCAAGGCUUUGACGGGUAGCCGGCCUGAGAGGGUGACCGGCCACAUUGGGUCUGAGAUACGGCCCAGACUCCUACGGGAGGCAGCAGUGGGGAAUAUUGCACAAUGGGCGGAAGCCUGAUGCAGCAACGCCGCGUGCGGGAUGACGGCCUUCGGGUUGUAAACCGCUUUCGCCUGUGACGAAGCGUGAGUGACGGUAAUGGGUAAAGAAGCACCGGCUAACUACGUGCCAGCAGCCGCGGUGAUACGUAGGGUGCGAGCGUUGUCCGGAUUUAUUGGGCGUAAAGGGCUCGUAGGUGGUUGAUCGCGUCGGAAGUGUAAUCUUGGGGCUUAACCCUGAGCGUGCUUUCGAUACGGGUUGACUUGAGGAAGGUAGGGGAGAAUGGAAUUCCUGGUGGAGCGGUGGAAUGCGCAGAUAUCAGGAGGAACACCAGUGGCGAAGGCGGUUCUCUGGGCCUUUCCUGACGCUGAGGAGCGAAAGCGUGGGGAGCGAACAGGCUUAGAUACCCUGGUAGUCCACGCUGUAAACGGUGGGUACUAGGUGUGGGGUCCAUUCCACGGGUUCCGUGCCGUAGCUAACGCUUUAAGUACCCCGCCUGGGGAGUACGGCCGCAAGGCUAAAACUCAAAGGAAUUGACGGGGCCCCGCACAAGCGGCGGAGCAUGCGGAUUAAUUCGAUGCAACGCGUAGAACCUUACCUGGGUUUGACAUGGAUCGGGAGUGCUCAGAGAUGGGUGUGCCUCUUUUGGGGUCGGUUCACAGGUGGUGCAUGCCUGUCGUCAGCUCGUGUCGUGAGAUGUUGGGUUAAGUCCCGCAACGAGCGCAACCCUUGUUCACUGUUGCCAGCACGUUAUGGUGGGGACUCAGUGGAGACCGCCGGGGUCAACUCGGAGGAAGGUGGGGAUGACGUCAAGUCCUCAUGCCCCUUAUGUCCAGGGCUUCACGCAUGCUACAAUGGCUGGUACAGAGAGUGGCGAGCCUGUGAGGGUGAGCGAAUCUCGGAAAGCCGGUCUCAGUUCGGAUUGGGGUCUGCAGCUCGACCUCAUGAAGUCGGAGUCGCUAGUAAUCGCAGAUCAGCAACGCUGCGGUGAAUACGUUCCCGGG
rnacentral:rRNA from 1 species